GGUUAAGCGACUAAGCGUACACGGUGGAUGCCCUGGCAGUCAGAGGCGAUGAAGGACGUGCUAAUCUGCGAAAAGCGUCGGUAAGGUGAUAUGAACCGUUAUAACCGGCGAUGUCCGAAUGGGGAAACCCAGUGUGAUUCGUCACACUAUCGUUAACUGAAUACAUAGGUUAACGAGGCGAACCGGGGGAACUGAAACAUCUAAGUACCCCGAGGAAAAGAAAUCAACCGAGAUUCCCCCAGUAGCGGCGAGCGAACGGGGAGCAGCCCAGAGUCUGAAUCAGCUUGUGUGUUAGUGGAACGGUCUGGAAAGUCCGACGGUACAGGGUGAUAGUCCCGUACACCAAAAUGCACAGGCUGUGAACUCGAAGAGUAGGGCGGGACACGUGGUAUCCUGUCUGAAUAUGGGGGGACCAUCCUCCAAGGCUAAAUACUCCUGACUGACCGAUAGUGAACCAGUACCGUGAGGGAAAGGCGAAAAGAACCCCGGCGAGGGGAGUGAAAAAGAACCUGAAACCGUGUACGUACAAGCAGUGGGAGCACCUUCGGGUGUGACUGCGUACCUUUUGUAUAAUGGGUCAGCGACUUAUAUUCUGUAGCAAGGUUAACCGUAUAGGGGAGCCGCAGGGAAACCGAGUCUUAACUGGGCGUUAAGUUGCAGGGUAUAGACCCGAAACCCGGUGAUCUAGCCAUGGGCAGGUUGAAGGUUGGGUAACACUAACUGGAGGACCGAACCGACUAAUGUUGAAAAAUUAGCGGAUGACUUGUGGCUGGGGGUGAAAGGCCAAUCAAACCGGGAGAUAGCUGGUUCUCCCCGAAAGCUAUUUAGGUAGCGCCUCGUGAACUCAUCUUCGGGGGUAGAGCACUGUUUCGGCUAGGGGGUCAUCCCGACUUACCAACCCGAUGCAAACUACGAAUACCGAAGAAUGUUAUCACGGGAGACACACGGCGGGUGCUAACGUCCGUCGUGAAGAGGGAAACAACCCAGACCGCCAGCUAAGGUCCCAAAGUCAUGGUUAAGUGGGAAACGAUGUGGGAAGGCACAGACAGCCAGGAUGUUGGCUUAGAAGCAGCCAUCAUUUAAAGAAAGCGUAAUAGCUCACUGGUCGAGUCGGCCUGCGCGGAAGAUGUAACGGGGCUAAACCAUGCACCGAAGCUGCGGCAGCGACACUAUGUGUUGUUGGGUAGGGGAGCGUUCUGUAAGCCUGCGAAGGUGACCUGUGAGGGUUGCUGGAGGUAUCAGAAGUGCGAAUGCUGACAUAAGUAACGAUAAAGCGGGUGAAAAGCCCGCUCGCCGGAAGACCAAGGGUUCCUGUCCAACGUUAAUCGGGGCAGGGUGAGUCGACCCCUAAGGCGAGGCCGAAAGGCGUAGUCGAUGGGAAACAGGUUAAUAUUCCUGUACUUGGUGUUACUGCGAAGGGGGGACGGAGAAGGCUAUGUUAGCCGGGCGACGGUUGUCCCGGUUUAAGCAUGUAGGCUGGUUAUCCAGGCAAAUCCGGAUAAUCAAGGCUGAGGUGUGAUGACGAGGCACUACGGUGCUGAAGUAACAAAUGCCCUGCUUCCAGGAAAAGCCUCUAAGCAUCAGGUAACAUCAAAUCGUACCCCAAACCGACACAGGUGGUCAGGUAGAGAAUACCAAGGCGCUUGAGAGAACUCGGGUGAAGGAACUAGGCAAAAUGGUGCCGUAACUUCGGGAGAAGGCACGCUGGUGUGUAGGUGAAGCCCCUGCGGGUGGAGCUGAGACCAGUCGAAGAUACCAGCUGGCUGCAACUGUUUAUUAAAAACACAGCACUGUGCAAACACGAAAGUGGACGUAUACGGUGUGACGCCUGCCCGGUGCCGGAAGGUUAAUUGAUGGGGUUAUCCGUAAGGAGAAGCUCUUGAUCGAAGCCCCGGUAAACGGCGGCCGUAACUAUAACGGUCCUAAGGUAGCGAAAUUCCUUGUCGGGUAAGUUCCGACCUGCACGAAUGGCGUAAUGAUGGCCAGGCUGUCUCCACCCGAGACUCAGUGAAAUUGAACUCGCUGUGAAGAUGCAGUGUACCCGCGGCAAGACGGAAAGACCCCGUGAACCUUUACUAUAGCUUGACACUGAACAUUGAGCCUUGAUGUGUAGGAUAGGUGGGAGGCUUUGAAGCGUGGACGCCAGUCUGCGUGGAGCCAACCUUGAAAUACCACCCUUUAAUGUUUGAUGUUCUAACGUUGGCCCCUGACCGGGGUUGCGGACAGUGUCUGGUGGGUAGUUUGACUGGGGCGGUCUCCUCCCAAAGCGUAACGGAGGAGCACGAAGGUUAGCUAAUCCUGGUCGGACAUCAGGAGGUUAGUGCAAUGGCAUAAGCUAGCUUGACUGCGAGCGUGACGGCGCGAGCAGGUGCGAAAGCAGGUCAUAGUGAUCCGGUGGUUCUGAAUGGAAGGGCCAUCGCUCAACGGAUAAAAGGUACUCCGGGGAUAACAGGCUGAUACCGCCCAAGAGUUCAUAUCGACGGCGGUGUUUGGCACCUCGAUGUCGGCUCAUCACAUCCUGGGGCUGAAGUAGGUCCCAAGGGUAUGGCUGUUCGCCAUUUAAAGUGGUACGCGAGCUGGGUUUAGAACGUCGUGAGACAGUUCGGUCCCUAUCUGCCGUGGGCGCUGGAGAAUUGAGGGGGGCUGCUCCUAGUACGAGAGGACCGGAGUGGACGCAUCACUGGUGUUCGGGUUGUCAUGCCAAUGGCACUGCCCGGUAGCUAAAUGCGGAAGAGAUAAGUGCUGAAAGCAUCUAAGCACGAAACUUGCCCCGAGAUGAGUUCUCCCUGAGACUUUAAGUCUCCUGAAGGAACGUUGAAGACGACGACGUUGAUAGGCCGGGUGUGUAAGCGCAGCGAUGCGUUGAGCUAACCGGUACUAAUGAACCGUGAGGCUUAACCUU
rnacentral:rRNA from 2 species